UACGUAGGGCGCGAGCGUUGUCCGGAAUUAUUGGGCGUAAAGAGCUCGUAGGCGGCCGGUUGCGUCUGCUGUGAAAUCCCGGGGCUUAACCCCGGGCGUGCAGUGGAUACGGGCCGGCUGGAGGCAGGCAGGGGAGAAUGGAAUUCCCGGUGUAGCGGUGAAAUGCGCAGAUAUCGGGAGGAACACCGGUGGCGAAGGCGGCUUUCUGGACGACAACUGACGCUGAGACGCGAAAGCGUGGGGAGCAAACAGG
rnacentral:rRNA from 1 species